CCUACGGGUGGCAGCAGUGGGGAAUAUUGGACAAUGGGCGAAAGCCUGAUCCAGCCAUGCCGCGUGUGUGAAGAAGGCCUUCGGGUUGUAAAGCACUUUCAGUGGGGAAGAAAGCCUUGGGGCUAAUACCCUCGAGGAAGGACAUCACCCACAGAAGAAGCACCGGCUAACUCCGUGCCAGCAGCCGCGGUAAUACGGAGGGUGCGAGCGUUAAUCGGAAUUACUGGGCGUAAAGCGCGCGUAGGCGGUCUGAUAAGCCGGUUGUGAAAGCCCCGGGCUCAACCUGGGAACGGCAUCCGGAACUGUCAGGCUAGAGUGCAGGAGAGGAAGGUAGAAUCCCCGGUGUAGCGGUGAAAUGCGUAGAGAUCGGGAGGAAUACCAGUGGCGAAGGCGGCCUUCUGGACUGACACUGACGCUGAGGUGCGAAAGCGUGGGUAGCAAACAGGAUUAGAUACCCCAGUAGUC
rnacentral:rRNA from 1 species